CACUGAAAUAUACAAUCAACUCAAUGUUAGAUUCAACCGUCAUACUCCAGACAUUAUCUGGUGUUGAACACAAGGCCCAGUGGACCAAUAGUGGUGAUGGUGUAUGAAUGGAUCAUGGUAAAUCAAUAAUGACACCAGGUGUUCGUAGAAAGGAUAAGCACAUCCUGCUAUCAGUAUGGUCACAAUUUACAUAUCAAGGUGCACCGUGUUGAGAUAUUUUAGCCAACAUUCACAUAUCAAGGCGCACUGUGUUGUAAUACUUUAGCCCACAUUCACAUAUCAAAGUGCACUGUGCUAUGAUAAUUUAGCGUACAUUCACAUAUCAAGGUGCACUGUGUUGUGAUACUUUAGCUUACAUUCACAUAUCAAGGUGCACCGUAUUGUGAUAAUUUAGCCCACAUUCACAUAUCAAGAUGCACCGUACUGUGAUAAUUUAGCCCACAUUCACAUAUCAAGUUGCACCGUAUUGUGAUAAUUUAGCCUACAUUCACAUAUCAAGGUGCACCGUAUUGUGAUAAUUUAGCCCACAUUCACAUAUCAAGGUGCACCGUAUUGUGAUAAUUUAGCCUACAUUCACACAUCAAGUUGCACCGCAUUGUGAUAAUUUAGCCUAUAUUCACAUAUCAAGGUGCACUGUGUUGUGAUACUUUAACCUACAUUCACAUAUCAAGGUGCACUGUGCUGUGAUAAUUUAGCACACAUUCACAUAUCAAGAUGUACCGUACUGUGAUAAUUUAGCCCACAUUCACAUAUCAAGGUGCACCGUGUUGUGAUAAUUUAGCCCACAUUCACAUAUCAAGGUGCACCGUAUUGUGAUACUUUAGCCUACAUUCACAUAUCAAGGUGCACUGUGUUAUCAUACUUUAGUCUACCUGAACACGUC